AGGUUUGGCUAAAAAUUUAACUAUGCUGUAAAUUCAAGUGGAGGAUCAAUAAGAACAUAGAGUUGUAUAGAAGAAUUAGCACCACGGCGAAGAUGGAUAGUAGGCUGUGUAGAAUAAGACCGAUGGUGGGAAUCAAAGCCCUCAUUGAAUGUAUAGUGUUCAAGACAAUGCAAAGUGACUCGCCAUAUCUCUUCGGAAUAAUUCCUAUUUAAUACUUGGCUAUACUUACAAGCAGGGGAUUGCCACUUGAUGAAAGCCUUUGCAACACCAAAAAUUUAGCCUUGAAAGAACCCAUUCGAAACAUUCUUGCAGAUGCUGAAGACAUGAAAUCCUAUUAUAUCUCUGAAAGUGUUGUUAUCCCCUCUUCCAUAUUGCUGCAAAGCCUUUUCUACUUGACUUAUAAAUGACUGUGUCUUUAUUAGUACUAAUCAACAUUAAAUUCGUGAUUACAAUGU